GCCACAGAGUUGUCUUCAUCAGCCCAGGUCCCAGAAUGAGGAGGACACAGAGCAGACCUGUGGCCAACCUACAAUGAACAUGGAGCACGAGUGAGACAUAAAUCUCUGCCUCUAUACUGUGGUAACUCCAGAGCCAACAGAGACGCUCCAAAACCCGAAAAGGCUUGAAGCUUUCGUAUGAUCUUUGGCCUCAUUCUCCAAACUCCAGCCAACUAAACUUCCUGGAGGUCAUCUGCCACUGUAUUUUCCACAACGCCAUAAAAGUUACAGCUGUUUAGAGCUGGCUGGAACCACACAGAUCAUCUAUGAGAUGAUCUACACAGAUGAACAAGGACAGUAAACUUUUAGUGACCAUGUACUACAUCCCAGGA